GGAGAGAUGUCCGAGUGGCUUAAGGAGCACGCCUGGAAAGCGUGUGUAGGGGCAACUCUACCGAGGGUUCGAAUCCCUCUCUCUCCGCCA
rnacentral:tRNA from 2 species